UUGUACUUGCUUCAGAAGAAACCCACUGGAACAUUUUAGUGCCUGCAAAGCAUUAGUACACAAGGGCUGGUCCUCGCCAGUGAAUCCUUGCAGUGACUUCUAUAGGUGAUUCACUACAGGAGUGUGAUCAAAGUCAUUCAAAUGUCUCAGGCCACCAAGCUUGAAGCUGACAGUGGUCCCCGAGAACUGAGAUGACGUGUCUUUGGGGACUUCAAACCAUCAGCCAAUUAUUCAUGAGGUUGGAAGACGACACAGCUUGGCUGACUGUGAAUGGUUGAGCUAUGGUCUACUAGUUAUUAGAGCCUCUUCUGGUGGAUGCCCUGUGACAGGUAAUGGUAUAUGAAAUUCAUGUCUUCAUACUUUAUUGUUUAUUCACUCAGGCUGUCACUGUUUCUUCACAGGUCCAUGGUCAGUAACCCAAGCUCUUCUCCAUUGUCCUGAAAUCAGUAUUUAUUCUUAUUUCUGGUUAUUUCACAUACAAAACACUAAUGAUUCCCAGACGCACUGCUAAAGCACUGCAUAUUAGAUGAGUUAUCCAUGCUUCUUCUUUUAAGAAUAACACUGAGUAGGAUUAUAAUGGAG
rnacentral:sRNA from 1 species